AGCAGCCGCGGUAAUUCCAGCUCCAAUAGCGUAUAUUAAAGUUGUUGCAGUUAAAAGCUCGUAGUUGAAUUUCGGGACUAAUAUGUCGGUCGUGCCUCGGUACGCACUGGCUUAUUGGUUUCUCCUUUCUGAAGAACCAUGAUGUCAUUUAUUUGGUGUCGUGGGGAAUCAGGACUGUUACUUUGAAAAAAUUAGAGUGUUUAAAGCAGGCUCACGCUUGAAUACAUUAGCAUGGAAUAAUGAAAUAGGACGUUUGAUUCUAUUUUGUUGGUUUCUAGGAUCGACGUAAUGAUUAAUAGGGAUAGUUGGGGGCAUUAGUAUUCAAUUGUCAGAGGUGAAAUUCUUGGAUUUAUUGAAGACUAACUACUGCGAAAGCAUUUGCCAAGGAUGUUUUCAUUAAUCAAGAACGAAAGUUAGGGGAUCGAAGACGAUCAGAUACCGUCGUAGUCUUAACCAUAAACUAUGCCGACUAGGGAUCGGAUGAUGUUAAUUUUUUUAAUGACUCAUUCGGCGCCUUACG
rnacentral:misc_RNA from 1 species